rnacentral:lncRNA from 1 species
UCGUAUGAAUACUCAGGGGACUCAAAUGUAAUUAUGUAAUAAAUGGAGGGGCACAUAUGUAAUAAGUGAGGAGCCCUUAUUCUAUAAAAGGACCCCUCACCCUCACAAUUGGGGGAGACCAAUUCCUAGGCCCUCUCAGAGCCUCACUCUCAUUACAGAGGCCCUCACACUCUCUCCCUCACAAUCCUCUCAGAAAUACAAUAUCAGUGUGGACGUAGCCCAAACCUUGGGGUGAACCACGAUACAUCCUGUGUUAUUUACAUUUCUUGCAGAUUCACGGUCGGAUUUACGUUGUUCCAAGACCUCCAGUUUUAUGCAUCAACACUUGGCGCCGUCUAUGGGAAACGAUACAAAAAGUUGUGUCGGUUCUCUUUCAUUUUUUCACCUCCACCGUGAAUCUGCAAAAAUCUGCAAAAACCCAGAAACAGAAAAGAUCAAGAUCUCAAAUCACUCAUCUCUCUCUCUCUCUCUCAAAGAAACACAACCAAGCUAAGAAAAAGCCAAUCCAUCCAUCUACAUAGAAAGAACUCAUUUUGAGUCUAAAUACAAAGGAGAAGCUUUAGCUAGCAUUCCUAAACACAUACACUCCUAUAUACUACCAAAAAAAAAAUCAAACACGAGUUAUACCAUAUAACUCUUACAAUAUCCGGGUCUUUGGGUAGAGAAUAUCUCUGAUGGGUUGGAGAUCAGCCAUGGCUGCCAAAGCCCAAGGUGACAGUGAAGAUGAUGAUCCUUGUCGUGCGGGCCCAUGGUGCUCGACACCCUCAUCAAGGUCAAGAAGGAGAUUGUGAUGGGAACGCCGACGCCGAGUCUCCAAAAAGCAAUGGCAAUAUUGGCGCAAGGGAUUAUGAUGGGAAACAGCUUAAAGCAUCGACUAGAUGCAGAGAUGAGAGUGCCCGUGAGUCGAAAGCUGAAAUCUGGAAGGUCCAGUUCAGGUUCUGAGCUAUUACUCAUAUCAUCUCAACAAACAGCGGAGCUCCGCUGUCGGUCCUACCCACCGCUUCCAGCGGAACGCUAGGCCACCACAUGACUCGGUGACUCAUCAAAAUCGGAGCCCAUGAUGUCUUUUCCGUUCCCAGCGACUUCAACUUAACGCUUCUCGACCACCUAAUCACCAAGCCCGGCCUUAACCUCAUCGGCUGCUGCAACGAGCUCAAAGGCGGUUAUGCUGCUGACGGCUAGGCGUCCGAAUCCGAGAGGCUCCAUUUGUGGCGUUCCGACAGUCCAGGUGAGCUGAUGCGGAGGCGGUGGGUGACUUGGAACUUAUGAGUUUCCAAGUGGACACGGGUGUACUAGAUCCGUCCCUCUUCCCAACCAGAAUCGCCUGCUUGAAUCUAUAAGUUCUGGAUGAUUGACGAUGACGACAACAUCGAUGACAAACAACCCCGCUUCUAGAUUUUUCCAUGGAUCAUCAAAUCCCCAGCAAGGUCGCCAUCUCCUUCCUCCGCCCUGUGAGUUUAUCUAUGUACUUCUUGCUGCCGUCUGGGAGUGUAUUUCGCCUUCAUCAUAUACCAAUGGUAGAAACCUGGCAUUUUUAUAUCGGAGAACCCAUAACGAUUAGGAGAUCUGCCCAACUACCAGUCCGCUGACGAUGAGCUCUCCGAUUACAAGAAGAGAACUUCGGCAAGGAUUCUGACCAAACCUUGUUAUUCUGACAAAACCAGGCCCAUUUUGUUCCGCCUUCAAGCUAUCUGGACUUGGCUUGAGCCUUGCAUGCUUGAUUUCAUGACUGCUGCUAUGAAACCCGACGAAAACCUUUUAUGGGCCCGUGAGAUUCUAGCCAAACUCGAUUUUUCCAGCCACCUAGAGGCUCUCUAGUACAAGCUUAUUUGGAUCAACAAAGGCUCAUCAACAUGGCUACUGAGCCUUGAAAAGAGGGAAAGUCCUGCCGACAAAAAAAUCAGAGAAUGAGCGAGGAGAGCACAUGGGGCAUGCACUUUCUUACCCACCAUAUGGAGGCCAAAUCUAGUCUGGUUGGUAGUGAGCCUUGAAAAGAGGGAAAGUCUUGCCGGCAGAAAAUUCAGAGAAAGAGCGAUGAGGGCACAUGGGAAACAAAAACAAAGCAACAAAGGUGCAGAGGAAAGGCAAAAGCAACAUAAACAUUCAUAAACAUCACUCAUGUCAACAUACAUGAGCAUCACUCAUGUCAACAUCCAUGAGCAUCACUCAUGUCAAUCAGCUUCAAAAGCUUCAUUUAC